GAAUUAUUGCAGCACAUGAAAUCCAGAUUAAUCUCCGUGAAUACUCGGCACUUGUUUAUAAAAAAAAUAAUAAAAAAAUGGCCUCCAGGGUGUCUCGGGAAGAAAGAGGAAGAAGAUGAAGAAGGACUGUCGGCUUCUGUGAUGAAUGUUUAAAGGAGGAGAGGGAACGGAGGUGUGAGAACAGCGCUGGAUCGGCGCUUGGACGUAGAAGGUGGUCCAAGUGUCAGAGAAGACAAAAGUGUUAUCAGGGAAGAUCGAUCCAUAACGACGUCUGGAUCAGAACAAGAAAAGAAGAAGAAAAAAAGAAAAGUCUGGUCUUUUAUUGGAAACACGGUGUGAUGAAGCUGUUCCCCUGCAGUUCUGCACAUCAGGACUCUACAGCAGUCUAAUACAGUCGAGACUCCAUUAACGUGAGAUUAACGAGCUCUAACUGCAUGUGAAUGCUGAUUCAGACAGAUGAGCAGAGCGAAGCGGCGUAGCGAGAGCUAAUAGGAAGCAAGAGAAAGCGCGGAUUCGCCAAACGAGAACUUUCCACUGAUGAACACGUUAAUAUUUUUCUUCACACUUAUAAACCCAUCGCUCGCGUUCAUCAGAUGAAAUCUGCAGCGAUUACACGUCCGGAAUAUGAUUAGCGUUUCUGCUGCAGAAUGAACGAGAUCCUCUACUGAGAACUCUAAUACUGUCUACUACUACUUUUAUUUUUUUCACAAACAUAUCCUGUUC